rnacentral:rRNA from 1 species
GGCAAGUCCCCACUGAAAUCCCCGGGCUCAACCCGGGGACGGGUGGGGAUACUGCCGGGCUAGGGGGCGGGAGAGGCCGAGGGUACUCCCGGGGUAGGGGCGAAAUCCGAUAAUCCCGGGAGGACCACCAGUGGCGAAGGCGCUCGGCUGGAACGCGCCCGACGGUGAGGGGCGAAAGCCGGGGGAGCGAACCGGAUUAGAUACCCGGGUAGUCCCGGCUGUAAACGAUGCGGGCCAGGUGUUGGGCGGGCUUUGAGCCCGCCCAGUGCCGCAGGGAAGCCGUUAAGCCCGCCGCCUGGGGAGUACGGCCGCAAGGCUGAAACUUAAAGGAAUUGGCGGGGGAGCACCACAAGGGGUGGAGCCUGCGGCUUAAUUGGAGUCAACGCCGGGAAUCUUACCGGGGGCGACAGCAGGAUGACGGCCAGGUAGACUUGCCUGACGCGCUGAGAGGAGGUGCAUGGCCGUCGCCAGCUCGUGCCGUGAGGCGUCCGGUUAAGUCCGGCAACGAGCGAGAUCCCCACCCCCAGUUGCUAUCCCGGUCUCUGGACCGGGAGCACACUGGGGGGACUGCCGCCGAUAAGGCGGAGGAANG